rnacentral:misc_RNA from 1 species
GAUGAAGAACGUAGCGAAAUGCGAUAAGUAAUGUGAAUUGCAGAAUUCAGUGAAUCAUCGAAUCUUUGAACGCACCUUGCGCCCUUUGGCAUUCCGAAGGGCAUGCCUGUUUGAGUAUCAUGAACACCUCAACUCUUCAUGGUUUUCCAUGAUGAGCUUGGACUUUGGGGGUCUUGCUGGCCUGCGGUCGGCUCCUCUCAAAUGAAUCAGCUUACCAGUGUUUGGUGGGCAUCACAGGUGUGAUAACUAUCUGCGCUUGUGGUUUUCCACCAAGUAACCUUCAGCAGUGGAGGUUCACUGGAGCUCACAGACGUCUCUCCUCAGUGAGGACAGCCCUUUGAAUGUUUGAUCUCAAAUCAGGUAGGACUACCCGCUGAACUUAAGCAUAUCAAUAAGCGGAGGA